UACGUAGGGUGCGAGCGUUAAUCGGAAUUACUGGGCGUAAAGCGUGCGCAGGCGGUUUUGUAAGCCAGAUGUGAAAUCCCCGGGCUUUAACCUGGGAAUGGCAUUUGGGACUGCAAGGCUCGAGUGCGGCAGAGGAGACUGGAAUUCCUGGUGUAGCGGUGAAAUGCGCAGAUAUCUGGAGGAACACCGGUGGCGAAGGCGGGCAUC
rnacentral:rRNA from 1 species